rnacentral:rRNA from 1 species
ACGGGAGGCAGCAGUGAGGAAUAUUGGUCAAUGGGCGGAAGCCUGAACCAGCCAAGUCGCGUGAAGGAUGAAGGUAUUAUGUAUUGUAAACUUCUUUAGCAGCAGAGUAAUAAGGGGGUCGUGACCCCCGAUGCAAGUAUGCUGAAAAUAAGGAUCGGCUAACUCCGUGCCAGCAGCCGCGGUAAUACGGAGGAUCCGAGCGUUAUCCGGAUUUAUUGGGUUUAAAGGGUGCGCAGGCGGUUUUUUAAGUCAGUGGUUAAAUCGUGAGGCUCAACCUCAUCACGCCAUUGAUACUGGAAGACUUGAUUGCGGUUGAGGUGGGCGGAAUUCGUCGUGUAGCGGUGAAAUGCAUAGAUAUGACGAAGAACACCGAUUGCGUAGGCAGCUGACCAAGCCGUAAAUGACGCUCAUGCACGAAAGUGCGGGGAUCGAACAGGAUUAGAUACCCUGGUA